GCCACAGUGGUGUAGUGGUUUGAGUGUUGGACUGCAACUCCAGAAACCAGGAUUCAAUUCCCAGCUUGGCC